CCGACCUCGGAUCAGACGUGAAUACCCGCUGAACUUAAGCAUAUCACUAAGCGGAGGAAAAGAAACUAACAAGGAUUCCCUUAGUAACGGCGAGUGAACAGGGAAAAGCCCAGCACCGAAGCCUGUGGCCAUUUGGUUACUAGGCAAUGUGGUGUUUAGGUCGUUCCGCAGAGGUUCUGCUCCACCCUAAGUCCAUCAAUGAGUAUGGUAGUAUGGACAUGGCCCGCAGAGGGUGAAAGGCCCGUGGGGGUGGAGACUCGUUUGGACAGAGCCUCUCUGGUUAGACCUUGGAGUCGGGUUGUUUGUGAAUGCAGCCCAAAGUGGGUGGUAAACUCCAUCCAAGGCUAAAUACUAGCACGAGUCCGAUAGCGAACAAGUACCGUGAGGGAAAGUUGAAAAGUACUUUGAAGAGAGAGUAAACAGUGCGUGAAACCGCUCAGAGGUAAACGGGUGGCGUUGAACUGCAAGCUUUGAGAAUUCAGCUGAUGAGUGUAGUUGAGCUUGGUCAAAUGGGUGAACUCCGGGGUCUGUGUAGUAGCAGGUCUUUGCCUUCGGGUGAGGAUGCGCGGUGCACUUAUCAAGUGUUGUGCGCUCCGGUUGUUCUUCGACUCGCUCGUCAGUGCACUUUCUCUUAGUGGUCACCACGACCGGCACCGCUGUCUGACUGCUUCGGUUAAACCGGUUUUGCAUAGCUCGCAAGGCUUUGCUUAAUCGGGAGGGCAGGUAGCUCGUUGACUUGCUUGUGGUUCGCUACAGGCGUUUGGUUUUCGAGUGUUAUUAGCUGACCGGAGUAGUUCUGUGCAGUGUGUCGGAGACGGCGGCUUGUGGUGCGUGCAUGCGUGCCUGUUCUGCUGACUUGUCCGAGUUUGGUUAUUAUGUUGCCUGUUCAAGCAGGCCUAGUGAUAGCUCGGAUUCGUUCGGUGGGCGGUUGCGUGUGUUGCACUUUUCAGGGCCAAUAGUCUGUGGUGUAGUGGUAGACUUCCACCCGACCCGUCUUGAAACACGGACCAAGGAGAGUAACAUGUACGCGAGUCAUUGGGCGUUACGAAACCCACAGGCGCAGUGAAAGUAAAGGUCUGACUUGUUCAGGCUGAGGUGAGAUCCUGUCGUUUCUCACGCGCGGUACUACCAAGCAUCGAGCGGCAGGCGCAUCACCGGCCCGUCCCAUGGCAGUUGUUUUCGGACAGUUCUCGGCCGGGGCGGAGCAUGAGCGUACAUGUUGAGACCCGAAAGAUGGUGAACUAUGCUUGCGCAGGUUGAAGCCAGAGGAAACUCUGGUGGAGGACCGCAGCGAUUCUGACGUGCAAAUCGAUCGUCAAACGUGAGUAUAGGGGCGAA
rnacentral:rRNA from 1 species